AGGAAAUGUUGAGUUGAGUUUCUCAAAAAAUCAAAAGGCACAUCCCCUCCUGAGGUAACAUGAAAUAAGAUGGUAUGAUUUUACUAAAAUUACCCCUCUACUUGAUUCUCUUCCUCAUUGCACCAGAAUGACAGAAUCUAUGUCCUUCAUUUUCAUUUCCCAAGCACUGAGCAUCCAGAAAAUACUCAGCAAGUACUUGUGGAAUAAAGGAAUGAAGAAAGGCAUGGACACUUCUGAAAUCAAGUAUUUUCAAUAAGUUACAGCUAUCAGGAAAAGGCAAGAAGCUUGACAUAGCAUCGAUGAGCCCAAGUCAACUAUAUGAACAAAACAAUGUCUCAGGAGGGGCAGGGUAUCACGUCAGAAGAAUCCUGAGUCCUUAGAUGACCUUGUAGAAAAGAGCCACAAACUUACUCUGGGCUACCUUCAUACCUCUGAACUAUUAUGCAGAGAGAAAUAAAUGUAUUCAAAUCAC